rnacentral:snRNA from 1 species
GUGCUUGCUUCAGCAGUACAUAUACUAAAAUUGGAACAAUAUAGAGAAGAUUAGCAUCUAUAGCCUCCCACCAUCUACCCCCACAUCUUUCCAAAGCUGUGGAAUUGGUGCAGUCACCACCUGUGAAAAGUAUAAGCUCCAAGCAGAGGUUGGUGAUGCCAAGAGAAGUUUCCCCUGUGCAAAGAUGACAUGCAAAUGUGUGAAGUGUUCCAUAUUUUU